CGGAUGAGAAUAUAAAUAAUAUUUUAUUAUUUCAUUCCACAUAAAAUCCUUCUCUAAUUAUCUUUGUUAUCCUUUUGAGUAUUUUUCUGUAUUUCUGGGUAUUAUUUAUUUUGUAUUUGUGAUUUUUGUUCCUUUUGGGGGUGAUUUCAAGCUGUAAUAUUGAUUUUAAGCUGAACUGCAGAGCAGACUUUUAUUUUGAAAUCGCGCGAGUUUUCAGUGUCAGCGCGGGCUUCUCUCUCCUCAGUUCGCGCUAAAUACUGCUGAGGAGAGGUGGGUGUUUACUGUGCUCCUGAUGAAAUACUGUUUUAAAACUGUUCAAGCACUUAUAGUGCACUAAAUCUGUACUCUUACUUGUGUUUUAGUACUAAGAGUAAGUUAUCUCUGGUUGUGUGGGUAGUUCGUUUGUGUAGAGAGUUUUUUUUAUAUAAGUACAGCAGAUUUAGUGGAGUUAAGGGAGAAACUGCUACCAGUUAAGCUAAUAUGGUGUGCUUUUCUUCUCACAGUUGCAUGUGUGUGUGUGAGAAGGACCAGAAUUCACUCUAUGCUGUGUUGUAUGCUACUCUCAUGCACAGCAUUUCUGUCAGUUCUGGCAAAAAAAGUGUAAAUGGAGUGGAACUUUACUACCAGCAGGUUGGAGAAGCAGAACACCCUGUGCUACUGCUGACAGGCAGUGGUCAGACAGAUUUUGGCCCAGAGCUCGAGAAGUUGGAUAGGAGGCGAUUUACAGUGGUGUCUUUGGACCCUCGAGGCUAUGGAUGUUCGCUUCCCCCAGACAGAGCCUUCCCCUGAACUUCUUUCACAGAGAUGCCAAGGAUGUUGUAAAUCUGAUGCAUGUCUGAGGCUUAAAUAAGGGGUUUAUUAAAAAUAAAUGUUAUGCUAAUGUUAUGCCAAUAAAAUAAAAGUCUUCUAAACAAUUUUAAAGGUCAGCAUUAAGAAUGUUCUCACUUUAUGUUUUGCAUAAACAGACCCUAACUGGUAUAGUCUAUGUUUAUUUAAGAUGUUUCUUUUUAUUGCGUCUCUCAUACACACAAAUCCUGUAUCUGUUUACUGUCUCUUUUUUUUAGGAACUUGGGUUCAGGCAUUUCUCCUUGCUGGGCUGGAGUGACGGUGGCAUCACUGCUCUCAUCGCUGCUGCCUUAAAUCCUACCUUAAUUAAGAAGAUGGUAGUAUGGGGCUCCAAUGCUUAUGUUUCAGAGCAAGACGUCAAAUGUCAGGGUCUUUAACAUAACGCUACUAACGUUACGUAUCCUAACAUUACUAAUGUUACCUCCAUCACCCCAAAACCCGUGUUAUUCUAACGUUACCUUCAUCACCUCAGAGUCCCUCUGUUAUUCUAAUGUUACUAAUGUUUCCUCCAUCACCUCUAAGCCUCUGUGUUAUUCUAAAGUUACUAACAUUACCUCUAUUGCCUUAAAGCCCUUGUGUUAUUCUAACAUUACUAACGUUACCUCCAUCACCUCAAACUCCAUUAUAUACUAACGUUACCUUCAUCACCUCAAAUUCCCUGUGAUAUCCUAACAUUACUACCGUUACCCCAUCUUAGAGUUACUAAGGUUACCUCCAUCACCCUAAAGUCUCUGUUAUCCUAACAUUACUUCCAUCACCUCAAAGUCUCAAUGUUGUCCUAACAUUCCUAACAUUACUACAACAAUCCUUACAUAACUAAUGUUACCUCGAUCACCUUGAAGUCCCUGCAUUACCCUAACAUUACUAACGUUACCUCCAUUACCUCAAAGCCUGUGUUAUCCUAGAGUUACUACCGUUACCUCCAUCACCUCAAAGUCUCUGUGUUAUCCUAACGUUUCUAACGUUACCUCAAUCACAUCAAAUUUCCUGUGUUAUCCUAGCACUACUAACGUUACCAUCACCCUAAAGUCUCUGUUAUCCUAAUGUUACUAACGUUACUUCCAUCACCUCAAAGUCCAUGUGAUAUCCUAAUAUUACUAAUGUUACCUUCAUCACCUCAAAGCCUCUGUGUUAUCGUAACGUUACUAACGUUACCUCCAUCACCCCUAUUCUGUCCCUUACACACGUGGGGCUGUAUGUAUCGACAGAUAGCUAAACACAGAGAUAUAAGAGGCUUGAAUGAAGACAGGCGCUGAAGUAGAGUGUAGAGCUCUUUACUUGUAAUGUCCUGAGCAACAUGAGCUCCCAAUGUUCUCUAUUGUGUGAAAACUGAAAUAAUUACAAAAAUACUUCUUACUGCUAAAUUCACAAUUGAAUAAACAAAUAGACAGUUACAUUAAAGCCAUUGGUUUCUUUUCACUUGGUUGUCUCUUUUUGCUGCCUGAAAAGAUCUGUUUUGUCAUAAGAUCCUGGUGGAGGUACAAUGGUACAGAUCUUCUGAGUUAAGAUCAUAGCUGGAAUCAGGAGACAAGGAGUAUCUGGGUCGGAAGUGAUGGGUAUCAGAGGCCUUGAGUUGAUAAUUGCAGUAACCUCUGCCAGAAACAUUGACAGUACCUCAUGGGUGAGGCAGGAUGGAUUGGUCUCUGACAGCAUGGAAUCCAAGAUGCGCCCAGAAACCCCAAUCAUCCUUUCCCAUACUCCACCCAUAUGGGAGGAAUGAGGUGGAUUAAAGAGCCAAGUGCUGCCUUCCUCGCUGAGGUCCACGUAGAGCAAUGAAGCGACGUAGAGCAUUGAUGAAACUGGAAGUAUCCAUUGACUCAAUAAGCUCUACAUGUACUGGCCGGACAUUAAGACAUGUGAACAUGACUGCCCAUCUUUUAGAGUUUGCUGCUCCUCCACGAGUACGACGUGUAGAUACACUCCAUGGACCAAAUAUGUCCAGACCAACGUUUGUGAAGGGUGUCUCAGUACUGUGGCGAUCAGGUGGGAGAUCUACCAUCUGCUGUUCUGCCGUCCUGCCGCAUAGUUUCUUACAUUGAACACACUUGCAAAGCUUGCUUGCUAAUGCCAGCCACUGCACUCUUUCUCCUGAUUACGAGUUGAUCUGAAGGACCGUGCAACAUGAAUAAGAAAAGCUAUGGCCCUAAUUAAAGAUUUCCAUGUUGAAAAUAGCUCAAAACGAUGAGCACCAAGGUUUGAAGAGGAGUCAGCACACGAAGUGAUGUUAGACCACACCUUAGCAUCAGAUUCUGGGUCGAUGAUGUCAUAAGGUGUCUGUUCAGCUGGACAUGCCCUCGUUGAAAGCAUCAAGAAGGAAGGACCAGAAAGCCAAAUGGUCUCUGCAAGGUUGGCUGCAAUCAGCUGGAUUCUCACUUGUUGGAACAUAGUGCCACUGGUCGGGAGAACCUCUUGAUUCGCUGGACCCUAUUGCUGACAUACACAUAGAAUCUCCUUGUUUCAUUACAAAUAUAUCCCAAUACCACCUUGCUGUCCGUGUAGAAAUCCAGUGAGUCUAACUUGACAUCAAGUUCAUUGACUCCCAUCUCUGCAAUUUCCACAGCCAGUACUGCAGCACCCUCGCUUCAAGACCUGGCACAGCUUGACAUUUCAAGAGCUUACACUUCAGGCAGUCUUCGUCAUGCCCAGCGAAGAGAGAUUCACCUGUUCUCGGAUGCAUCCAUAAACACCAUCGCUGCUGUUGCCUACCUAGCCUUCCCCAUGACAAAGCCAGUGUGACAUGUUCCGCUGCAGUCAGUUACUUUUAGGUAGGCAACAGCAGCGAUGGUGUUUAUGG